CGCAGAGGACCCCAGCAGCGCACUUGUCCCUUUCGCCCUGGCCUUGCCGCGGCGGCGGGGAGAAGAGGGUGGGACGGUCUGACCUCCGCAGCCAAUGAAAGCAAAUGCUGCCAUCUCUAUGAAAAAAAGCCCAUGUAAGCCAGACAAGAUACCAUGGGGAGGAGAAGCAAGUUGCCUCUGUUGACAGCCCCAGAAGCAGAAGCUCACUCCCAGAAGCACAGCUGCUUAGUCAACAAGCAGCUGAUAAUACAUGUCUGAAAGAGCUCAGUUGAGACCAGAAGAAUGGUCCCACUGAGCCCAGCCUAAAUGCCUGACCAUCUCAAUUAUGAUGCUAAUAAGUUUUGGAUGGUUUGUUACACUGUAACAGCUAACUAAUACAUGCACCCAGUGCAGAUAAGAUGCCAGGCUUCAAUGACAGCCUGAUUACUAGUUACCUUCUAAUAGUGGGCACCCUAAAAGUACUAAUUUUUUCCCCCUGAUUUAAAGUUGAAUGUCUUGUAAGAUAAUGUUGAGAAAUGCAGAAAUACAUGUGGACAUGUA
rnacentral:lncRNA from 1 species